AUCGUUGCGCUAGUAACCCUGCUCAGUAUGAGAGGAACCACAGGUUCAGACAUUUGGUUAUGUGCUUGGCUGAGAAGCCAAUGGGGUGAAGCAACCACCUGUGGGAAUAUGACUGCAUGCUUCUAAGUCAGAAUCCCCUCUAAAGGAACAAU
rnacentral:ncRNA from 1 species